rnacentral:rRNA from 1 species
GUGCCAGCAGCCGCGGUAAUACUUAGGGUGCAAGCGUUGUCCGGAAUUAUUGGGCGUAAAGAGCUCGUAGGCGGUUUGUUGCGUCGGCUGUGAAAACCUGAGGCUCAACCUCAGGCCUGCAGUCGAUACGAGCAGACUAGAGUGUUGCAGGGGAGACUGGAAUUCCUGGUGUAGCGGUGAAAUGCGCAGAUAUCAGGAGGAACACCGGUGGCGAAGGCGGGUCUCUGGGCAACAACUGACGCUGAGGAGCGAAAGCGUGGGGAGCGAACAGGAUUAGAUAGCCUGGUAGUCCACGCC